rnacentral:lncRNA from 1 species
GCUUAUCCCGAAGUAGAAGCAUUUAGCUGAAAGACUAAAAAGCAUUUUUAAAGCCAAAAUUCUCGUGUACGCCUGUCAGUAUUGCUAGCAGAAGAGUUUCAGGUUGCAGUUAAUGGGAAUUGCUGAUACCUUUAAGGAGUAUUUUGGACUCUGAUCUCACUGAGUUUCGGUUUGAGAAAUUGUGAAACACUCUUUCGUGAGAAGUAAUAAUGAACUCUGUACGUCAGUGAGAUGAAAGGAAAAUCUGAUAAAUAAAAAAGACCUUUUAGUUCUGAUUGACCUCUUCUUGUUGGAUGUCGUCAAAGAUGCUAUCUAAAGUGGGGCUUGCCUAAGGUCACAUGUACAGUUGCCUGCAUUCAGGAUUGUAGCUAUGAUGAUUUAUCAGUAAACUCUAGAAGUGGGAACAAAACCUACAGAGGCGGAAGAUCAAAGAGAGAUGUGUCACCAUCCAACGGGACAAUAAGUGCUCAGAACAAUAUAACAAGUAUGUGAUUUGGAAUUUGGCUGGGAGGUGAAUCUUCAGGGUGUUUUGUGCCUAUGUAGUGUGUUAGCAUUUUAGGUCCAAACUGUAGUCUAGAGUGUAAACAGCAUAGCAGGGAGUGGAUCCAGUUGCUGUGCUGGAGUAGAGAAUCAGCUGGAGAAAUGUAUCUGCACAGCUCACUGGGAGUGUAGUUUAAAGCUGUGAUUGUAGAAAUGAUUUUUAUCACCGUUUGACUUUUCUAAAGGUUUGUGUUCCCUUCUCUUCCCUGCUUUUUAUGGCCUUCCUAGG